GGAUUCCCCUAGUAACUGCGAGUGAAGCGGGAAAAGCUCAAAUUUAAAAUCUGGCGGUCUUUGGCCGUCCGAGUUGUAAUCUAGAGAAGUAAUGCCCGUGCUGGACCGUGUAUAAGUCUCCUGGGAUGGGGCGUCAUAGAGGGUGAGAAUCCCGUCUUUGACACGGACUACCAGUGCAUUGUGGUAUGCUCUCAAAGAGUCGAGUUGUUUGGGAAUGCAGCUCAAAAUGGGUGGUAAAUUCCAUCUAAAGCUAAAUAUUGGCGAGAGACCGAUAGCGAACAAGUACCNGUGAGGGAAAGAUGAAAAGAACUUUGGAAAGAGAGUUAAACAGUACGUGAAAUUGCUGAAAGGGAAACGCUUGAAGUCAGUCGCGUUGGCCAGGGAUCAGCCUUGCUUUUGCAUGGUGUACUUUCUGGUUGACGGGUCAGCAUCAAUUUUGACCGCUGGAAAAAGGCUUGGGGAAUGUGGCAGCAUUGGCUGUGUUAUAGCCCCUGGUCACAUACAGCGGUUGGGAUUGAGGAACUCAGCACGCCGCAAGGCCGGGUUUCGACCACGUUCGUGCUUAGGAUGCUGGCAUAAUGGCUUUAAGCGACCCGUCUUGAAACACGGACCNAAGGAGUCUAACAUGCCUGCGAGUAUUUGGGNUGGAAAACCCGAGUGCGCAAUGAAANGUGAAAGUUGAGAUCCCUGUCGUGGGGAGCAUCGACGCCCGGACCAGAACUUUUGCGACGGAUCCGCGGUGGAGCAUGUAUGUUGGGACCCGAAAGAUGGUGAACUAUGCCUGAAUAGGGUGAAGCCAGAGGAAACUCUGGUGGAGGCUCGUAGCGAUUCUGACGUGCAAAUCGAUCGUCAAAUUUGGGUAUAGGGGCGAAAGAC
rnacentral:rRNA from 1 species